CAUAAAACAAUCAAUUUUAAUUUAGCUAAUUAAUCUACUAUUGAGUUCAACCCGUACAAGAAUAUACUUAGAUGAACAAAAUCUUAUUCUAAAUUUUAAAUUAAAAAAAAAAACAUAGAGAAAGGCGCAAAUCUGUCUAACUAUCACACCUACCUCCUGAGAAGAAAAAAAUAUGUUAAUUAACAUGGGGCAGGUGAGAAAAUCAUUCCCUGUAUAUAUAUAUAUAUACACAGACCUCGAUGUGCAGAAUCACACAAGAUGCCAAAAACUAUAAAUUCCAGACGGCAAAAACCACGAGGACAUGGCAGCUGCCAGUCCAGAGAACAGAAACUAGAAAUGUCGGCUAGUUAUCCAUCAAAAUCAAAUUCCCUAAGCAUGACGCUGUAAAUGAUGAAUAAGUAGGAAGAAAAAGAAGAGUUGAAUUAUAAUAUUAAGGAGGGAUUUUAUUAAUACAAGAAUUUACAUUUUAUUUUUUUAAUGCUUAACAUCAUGAUCUAUCUAGAACAUGCUUUUAAGGCCAGAUACUAUAUACUUGAAUUGAUUUGAUUAGUUGCCUGAAUAUUAAGUCCCA